rnacentral:rRNA from 1 species
GUAACACCCGAAGUCGGUGAGGUAACCUAUUAGGAGCCAGCCGCCUAAGGUGGGAUAGAUGAUUGGGGUGAAGUCGUAACAAGGUAGCCGUAUCGGAAGGUGCGGCUGGAUCACCUCCUUUCUAAGGAA